rnacentral:rRNA from 1 species
UACGUAGGGUGCAAGCGUUAAUCGGAAUUACUGGGCGUAAAGCGUGCGCAGGCGGUUGUUCAAGACAGAUGUGAAAUCCCCGGGCUCAACCUGGGAACUGCAUUUGUGACUGCACGGCUGGAGUGCGGCAGAGGGGGAUGGAAUUCCGCGUGUAGCAGUGAAAUGCGUAGAUAUGCGGAGGAACACCGAUGGCGAAGGCAAUCCCCUGGGCCUGCACUGACGCUCAUGCACGCAAGCGUGGGGAGCAAACAGG